GAGUCUAUAGAUUCGACUCAUUGCAAUGGCCAGAGAGCACUCAUAUCGGUAUCAUGUCUAGUGUAUACAAAACGCCGUUAGAUGAGACUACGAACAAAUAAACAAAGAGCAUCCGCCGUACUGACACACUGCGCACUACGAGAAAUGAGUGACGAUUGUCGGGCCUUGAGUUGACCGUGCGCCCUUCCACUCAGCAACAGCACCAAUAUAUAGCAAUGCAGUCAGCUGUACCAUCCAUUACCUUGGGAUGUAUCGGAUCGGAUCGGGGGACGAGGCGACAAUAUUCUCACUCAGGCCAGGCCACACACACCACUCGCAGAAAACACGCGCGAAAACCGCUGAUAAGAGUGUGGCGAGCGUGCCAGCCAACAGGCAGGCGGAAUGGGAGUGAAUCAACACAAAGACCGAACCGAGCGUAAGGGCUUCCGACCUGAUUAGCGCUUUCAAUUAACAUGAAAUCAAUAAAAAAGACAGACCA